rnacentral:rRNA from 1 species
UACGUAGGGUGCAAGCGUUAAUCGGAAUUACUGGGCGUAAAGCGCGCGCAGGCGGUUCUUCAAGUCAGUGGUGAAAGCCCGGAAGCUCGAACUCCAGACUAGCCUUGAUACUGAGGAUCUUGAGUUCGGGAGAGGUGAGUGGAACUGCGAGUGUAGAGGUGAAAUUCGUAGAUAUUCGCAAGAACGACCAGUGGCGGAAGGCGGACUCACUGGCCCGUAUACUGACGCUGAGGC